CCACUAGUUGGAAACAUUUGUUAUUUUCCUUAUGUAGAAUGCAAGCAUGGGGGAAGCAGUGAGGAAGAUGAGCAUUCAAUGGAUGAAGACUCAGCCAACACUGCCAGCAGUAGUAGUAAGAACGAUCCUAAAGGAAAAGCUUCAAGAAUCUAAAGAGAGGGACAAAACUUUCUGCUAUUCAAAUGCACGA